CCCUCUAAGCCUUCUUUCGGGCUUGCUUUGUUGUUUUAAAAUAUGCAUGUCUCUCAGGAAUGCCAGUCACGAGUCCAAACUUUGUGUCCAACCUCCCACAUGAAAUGAUCCUUUUAUAGGGAACCCGAUAUGUCUCAAUCUGCACUUCACUCAAAGCCUCUGGAUAUGGGGCACUGGUCCCUGCUCAAAAAUAACUGAGCAGAUACGCGUUUCCACCUAAAAAAAUCCCCACGAAAGACUACCAGGGAAGAAAUAUAGCUCCCAUAAUUAAAGAAGGCAGCGGUCAGAGGGGAAUGCAGCCUGAAAGGAAAAAAAAGUAAGAGUUUUACUUCUUUUCUGAUUACACUUGGGGUUUCAUUAACAGCAGGUUUAUCAACAUAAGUGUAGCAAAGUGUUGCGUGUACACGGGAAAGAUUGAGCAAACGAAGACCAGAGGAGAAGGAAGAAGAAAGAUUAAGGAACACAGUCCAACUUCGAGAAAGAAACCCCCUUGAAGUCUUUUUGCCAAGACAAGUAUCAGACAUGCCUAAGAAUGAAACAAUUCUUGGUGGGGGCAGAAAACGAAGUCAUUUUUUUUUCCAAUAAGAAAAAAAAAGGUGAGAAAUAUCGUUGUCUUCUGUGUCCAUUAAAAACAGGCAUUUAAAAAUCACUGCUAGUUAAAAUUCCUUUCAGCUAUAGACGUAACUAACCAAGUUUUAAUGGUGCAAAAUUUUGGCAGAAACCAUAUUCCUCGAGAUAAGCACGGUCAUUCAUUUGACCGUAACGUGGCAUUCUUUAUCACAGAGCCUUUCCUCUUCAGAUUCAAAACUGUACAACUUUCCAGUCUAUUUAUUUUACAUGCUGCUGGCUGAGUCGUCUGUACCUGGUAAAUGCUUAUGCUCAGAGUGAACAUUCUUCACAUUUAGGACACUCUGUGUUGCUUCCAGUCUAACCCAGGAUGACAAAGCUGCUGCUUUAGCAAGGAGGGGGUUGAGGCUUUGUUAAGUGUUGCUUAAAACUUUUUCCCAGGCUCAAACUGAUUUUUAUUUUAUUUUAUUGCAUUGAGAUUAAUGGACUAUUAGUUAAAAGGAAGAGAAACAAUUCAAGAGGCUCCCAGUUAGUCACUCUGGUACAAGCCAGGGAAAAAAAUCCACAUUCAAAUGGAGAGAAAGACCGUCCUGGAUUCUGGAUCUGAUGCACAUUUUGGUGGUAAAACUGGUCCCGCCUACUUUCCUCCUCUGUUUCAAAGAUAAGAAGCUUUAACUAGAUACUUUUGGGUACCGACAACUUAAAUUACUGCAAAGCCCAAGUGUGUGGUAAAAUGUUGAUAAACCAUCGAAGUCACUGUAAUAACCAUGCAUCAUUCACUUGAGUCUCGCCAUUUGGGGUCUGGAAGCAAACGCGGGCUAAAUGUGUUUGUUUCCUAAUAAACAAGCAGAAAUAGGAAGAACCCAACUAGUGGGUUUUAAUUACUGAAGCAGGAAGGCACUUCCGCUCUCCAAUGAUCUCAGUUGACUCCAGUCUCUGAGUAGUUUUGGUACACUAAUAAUAUCACUUUGUUUGUCUCUGAUGACUAGUCUCUUAAUCCCAAAUGUCCUUUACGGUAAGGAGAGAACCAAAUAAAGCAAGAAGUGAAGGAGAUUUUCUUUUCCCACUUUUUGGAAGAGGGAGUUGCUCUUUUGAAUAUUAUUUGUAAAUUACAUUUUUAUAUCAGAACAACCGAACAUCCAUUUUCAAUUCCAAAACAUCUAGGAGAGGAUUUUUUUUCUUAUGCUUAAUCAUCUGAAACAUAUAAGUGUAGGCAAUGUGAAGUCAACAAAGACUAAAGGGAUGUCAUGAUAAGUUGAUGUUAGGCUAUUACCAUUUCAACAGAGUCAGACUACCACCAGCCAGAUUUAAACUAUUGAUAUGUUAUUGCGCUAUUCAGUGUCGGUUCAUGUUUUUAUUAAUAUCUACAAGCUGCUUUGAAGAGAAAAAUGUUUAUGAGGAGACAACUGCACAUUAGAAGAGAAAAGCUUUUUAUUAUUAUUUUUAAAGUGUAAACAGAAAUAUACAAUUCAUAAGAACUCCCUGCAGUUCUUUACAUAAGCAAAAACGCAAGUCAAUUAGGGCACGAGAAAGACACUUUUAAAAGGGUAUUUAUUACAGUAGAAUUUUUUUGCACUGAAUUUCCAUUAAAAUAAAAAAAUAGAUUAAUUUUGUGAUAUUUGGCACCUUGGAAACCCCCCUCAUGCAUUCCCAGUGGUAAGAGUUUGACAGUUGCAGGAUUUGAGAGCUUUUUUUCCACUCCCCCGCCCCCUUGGUCUUUGCAUUUAAGCACAGAACUACACAUAUGAAAUGCAAAUCAACGAGUUAAAACCUUAUUCACAUGAUACACUGAUCAGAGAGGAAACAAACCAGGGACGAGUACAAACGGCGUAAAUGCGUGACAGGCCAGCCCCAGGCAGGUGGCCAGCACCGACAGCAGGAAGUUACUUGGGGAGAAAUGAGGUGAACCAUAUUCUUAUGUCUAUAUAGCAAACCCAUAAUCAACAGGUUAAAUUGAGAAAUAUGAUUACACUGGAAGCUGCCCAGUGGCAGACGUGGAUUUUGCUUUGCCUCUAUUUGGGGAAGCUCCACAGCUUGCAAAACCCCUCGUAUCUUGCUUGCGAAAGUCUAACUCAGGAAACACAGCGACGACCUCCAUGUGUAAGGGACAUUUACAAAAGGGAGAGGAGCUAUAAUGGAGAGAAAACUGCAGAUUAUAGCAGACAAUUUUACAGUGAUUUCCCCUUGUUACAAGCGGAGGUUGCUGAAAGAAGUAAUGUGCGAACUGAAAAACACCACGGGUUAGCUAAAUAACAGCAAUGCCUGGUGCACAUACAUGGAGUAUUACAGCUGACUAAUUGUGACCCUCCAACACUGAGCACUGCACACACUUUAUAAAAACAAAGAAAAGAAGUUAGCAAAUAAAAUGGAAAGAUCCGGAAGAAUCUCUCCUUACACUGAAGUGACAUGAUUCGGUUACUGGUACGUUUACUCCAGACAAAAUACAUUGAAAUCCACAUUAAACACUUUAAAACAUCGUAUUAACAACAAUAGCCCCCUACCCUCACCCCUUCCGUACUGAAUUCCUCCUUCAACGCCGAAACGGGAAAAAUUACAUUAAAAGGGGGUCAAUAUCACAAACCCAUGUGGUGGUUGCCGACGAUUUGACUGGUUUGAAGUAAUACAGCAGUUGGAUGAAAUACCGUUUUGAUUUUUGUUGGCUUUGCCUCUGCUCUAACAACAGAGGCGAUGCAGACAUGACCACUGAAGAAAAGAUCACUUUAAUUUAGCUUCAUCAAACCUAUAAGAACUAAUUAGUGUACUUGCAUGCCAGACACGAUAUCAGGCACAUAUUGUUGCUUAUCAGACAUUAGCAGUUAAAAGUUGCUGACAUCAGCUACUAUUACUAAAAACACUUCCCUCCGAGGUCUGCAAUUUCAAUGAUUUUCUGAGCGUUUAAAUUCUGUGAAACUGGCUGUGUAUUUUACCAGGUGUAUAAGGCAGGGACAUGAUUUUUGCAAACACUUUGAAAGAAAUUAGGUCUGUGUUGAAUCAAAAACUGAAUAAAUACAGGAUGGUGAGGCAUUCCAGUUAUUAAAAAUUCCGAAUAUGAAAAUGUAAGCUUCUUUGAAUUAAAAAAUCAGCAAAAUCAGUCAUUCAUGACUUUUUAUUUAUUUAUGCUAUCACAAUUCACAGUGAGGUCCAGACGGUUGCUGAAUUGGUAAAGUAUAAAGCAAUUGGCAUUUUAAGGUAGAGCUUUCAAAAGCAAAUGGAGCUCUACAAAUAAUGCCAAAGAAGGAAAAAAUCUUUAUACAAAGAGACUUUCCCACAAAUUUGGACCCAAGUUUUUGGACCCCUUAUCUGCAGAACAUGGAAAGUGUGAAGAGUUGAUCCCAUUUGGUCCCAGAGAAGAAAAGACUAUUGAUUGUAAAUAAUCAUUUUUUUUUACUAUUCAAAAUUAUGUCCCUCUUUAAAAAGAGUAAUUUAUAUUUUGCUUUGUCUCAAAAUAGACAUUCUAUUAGAAUAAAAAAUAAACGUAUCAACUAAGUUCUAAAAGUAAAUUUUAAAUACAGGUAUUUAAUCUAUGUUACAAUUUUCACUAAAACACGUAUUACAGCUCGUGAUUUAAAAUUAUUCAGAGAUACAAACUCUCUGUAAAAAUGGGAAUCCUAAAAUCACGAAGCAAAAGAUUUCAGCAUAAAUAGCAUCGGUUCAUUUUGGUUUAAAUUUAGUCCUUUCCUUCCGAAAUGUACAGAUUUAUGAGAAACCUUAUUUUAAAUUCAGAGACGGUCCUCCAUAUAAAUACCUAUUCAUUCAUUUAUUAUUUCUUAGGAGCUAUUUUAUGCACAGUCUCUCCUCUGGUCUCAAAAGCUACAGGGAACAAUUCAUAUUUAUCCAAAUCCAAAUACUACGCCACCGUCUUUGUGCUAUUUUUAAAAUUUAAAUUGAGUCAUUAUGGCUUAACUAACCCCCUUAAAAAGCACAA